UACAGAGGGGGCAAGCGUUGUUCGGAAUUACUGGGCGUAAAGCGUGCGUAGACGGUUUCGUAAGUCGGGUGUGAAAUCCCCGGGCUCAACCUGGGAAUUGCAUUCGAAACUGCGAGGCUAGGGUACGGAAGAGGGAAGCGGAAUUUCUGGUGUAGCGGUGAAAUGCGUAGAUAUCAGAAGGAACAUCAGUGGCGAAAGCGGCUUCCUGGUCCAGUACCGACGUUCAGGCACGAAAGCGUGGGGAGCAAACAGG
rnacentral:rRNA from 1 species